GGCGUAACACCCUUUGGACGUCCCUGAAAAGCACAAUCAGAUAAAAUAAUCAUACAAGUGCUCACUAUCAAAAAUUGGCACAGAAUAAAAUCAUAUUUAUCACAUACUCAUUUAUUCUAUUAUGCAACAGACAUGUGAUUGAAAGGAAUGCACAUACUUUCAUGCCAGUAAGCAAACCAUCACUCUAGAUCAUAGGUUUUGUUCAUAGUAAAAGAGCUAUCAACUUUUUCAUACGCUCAUGUAAACAACAGUGCAUCUUUCUUCAGCCUGUCACAUUUCAGUAAUUUUACUCAUCUUCAAAUCUUAACCCUUUUAAAUAACAGGUUUUAGUUCAACUUUCAAAAUAAUAACAAAUAUUCCACAUAAAUGAAUAUCUUUUAUCAAUUCCAAUUAUUUUUGAAUAAUUUAAUGCAUCCCAUAUCACCUCAUACGUCUUGGCAACAUUACUUCAAGCAUAAGGUAGCACACCUCCAGUCUGGAUUUUUUUUUUAUAACAAAUAUUCAUAUUCUUGCCAAAGAAAGUUAAAACUCAAUUUUCAAAAAGAAACUGAAUAUUCCAUAAAAAUGGAUUGCAGAGGUCAGGCAUGAUCUUUUCAUUUAAUGAUGUCUAUGACAAAAAUGUAUGAUAUAUCUAGAUGGACUACAGUCUCACAACGAUGGAGAAGAGAAGAAGGAAUAUCACACUAUACACCCCAAUAGAGGUUGAGCAAAGGAAAAUAUAACCUUAAUUUACCAAUUCCAUGAAUUUUGAUCACGUAAACUCAAUCAAUAGUCAUAACA
rnacentral:misc_RNA from 1 species